AUUGAACGCUGGCGGCAGGCUUAACACAUGCAAGUCGAGCGGAGAUGAGGUGCUUGCACCUUAUCUUAGCGGCGGACGGGUGAGUAAUGCUUAGGAAUCUGCCUAUUAGUGGGGGACAACAUUCCGAAAGGAAUGCUAAUACCGCAUACGCCCUACGGGGGAAAGCAGGGGAUCUUCGGACCUUGCGCUAAUAGAUGAGCCUAAGUCGGAGUAGCUAGUUGGUGGGGUAAAGGCCUACCAAGGCGACGAUCUGUGGCGGGUCUGAGAGGAUGAUCCGCCACACUGGGACUGAGACACGGCCCAGACUCCUACGGGAGGCAGCAGUGGGGAAUAUUGGACAAUGGGCGGAAGCCUGAUCCAGCCAUGCCGCGUGUGUGAAGAAGGCCUUUUGGUUGUAAAGCACUUUAAGCGAGGAGGAGGCUACCUGGAUUAAUACUCUAGGAUAGUGGACGUUACUCGCAGAAUAAGCACCGGCUAACUCUGUGCCAGCCGCCGCGGUAAGAC
rnacentral:rRNA from 1 species